UUUUCUCCAAUAAAUCCGCUAUUUACCUAUUAAGUAUACAAUUAAAUCUCAAUGUUCUUAUGAACAGUACAUUCAGUUAUUUAUUUUUUACCGUUUCCAUCUUCAGUACAUCCUGUUAUUUUUUUUUACCGUUUCAAACUUCACACGCGUUUGCUUCUGCUCUCCCACCGUUCCCUCUGCCAAUCCUUUUCUUCCACUCAUCGUUUUCUUCCGCUGAAUAUCACCGCUGCUUUUAAUCAUCUCCUUAUGUCUCUCUCUAACCCUCGACUCGUCGAGGUCGAUUUCGAAUCUACCUCUCACCGCUUACUCUUCCCAAUUUUAUGCAUACAUCAUUGUUUGCCUCUCUAUAUCAGAAGAGAUCGACUUAGGGUUUAAUUUUGGACUUGAAGAAAGUUGUCUUGUUGGGGACAUUUGGUGCACAUGGGUAAAUGACACCUAGGUUCUGCGAAGAAGUGAAAAAAACCAACAAGGCAAACAAUCAGGCCAGCAACCCUUUUUUUGUCUUGAUUUUCAGAUUUGAAAUAAACUUUCAUGAUGCACGCCAAAUGCUCGAUAAAAUGCUUCAUUAAUGUUUUUUUUUCAAACUAUUAUUAAGGUAAGCUUAAUUUUGGGCUCACUAUCUGUUUAAUGAGUACUUUUUUGCUAUUUUUAUGAUCAUGAUGUUCAUGUUGAUCUAUGUGACAAAUGAGGCUAAAUAUUUGAUGAUCAGGUUAGUUCCCCCAUGGAAUUUGGUCCAGAGUAGUUAACAUGCCUCCUUCACCAUGCUUCUCUAAAUUAAAGAAUUUUUCAAUCAUAUCUAACUUCCAAUAAGCCUUUUGUUUACUUCAAUUUGUUGAACUCAUCAUUCUUACGUCCUUACUGCUGAAUUUGUUUUUGUUUCAGCCCAAUUUCUAUUCUAUUUUUUUUUGUGAAAUCUUUUCUUAUUUUCACUAUGAUUUAAUAGUUUUGUUUAGUAUAUUCUUAUGCUAAUUGGAUAUCUUAUAAAUCUUUUACACAUAAUAACUAAUAAUCAAUGGUUUUACGUUUUCAUCAACUGUUUGCAUUGUUAUUUACAUUUUCCAAAAGUUUUCACAUAUUCAUGUAUUGUUUGGUAAUUUUUUCAGAUAUGUAAGGUUAAAACUCCAGAUUUGACCAUCAGUCCUGUUUAUUAGGCUGAAAUUGGUGCAGUUGACUAUAAUAAGUUACCAUUUUUAAGUCAGUAUAUAUGUCUUACUUAUGAUUUUUUUAUUUGUUAUUAAUUGUGACAUGUCCAAACUACGAAAAGAAUGACAAUUCAACCUACACGUCCAUGGCUCGGUCUUCUGAGGUUCCAUGUUUCGGGUCAAACUCCCAUGUUUGCCUCCUGAUAAAGUUGUUGGUGGAAUAGAAAUACAUAUCAUUGUCACCUUAUAUUAUAUUUAAUCUCCGCAUUUUUUUUUGUUAUGAAACAAUAAGUGAAUGAAAAAGAAGAUAAAAUGGUGAAAUGACUUUUCUUAUGAGAUUAUGGUCUACAGGUCGACCCGUUAUCAAGAUCACCAAGUCAAACGUUUGGCUCAUUGGUAGAUUUUUCCAUGUGUUAGGAAAGUUUGAUAACUUUGAUAACUUAUGAAACUCUAUUUACUUUGAUAACUUUAUAAAAUAUAAUUACUUUUUUCUUUUGGGUUGGCUUGGUGACCUAAGGCGAAGAUGCUUGGCUAUGAUGACAUUCAAAGGCACACAUUCAUGUCAUAGUAUUUUGAUAUAACUUCAAAUUAUCAGAUUCACCAUCUGACCCGUGCAACGCACGGGUAUCUAUGCUAGUUAUAAUUCAUUUUGCCGCCUCUUGACUCCUAAUGUAAGGCAUAUUUUUUUUCUUUGGUAUAAAU